rnacentral:rRNA from 1 species
CAGUAGCCGCGGGAAUACAGAGGGUGCGAGCGUUAAUCGGAUUUACUGGGUGUAAAGCGUGCGUAGGCGGCUAAUUGAGUCGGAUGUGAAAUCCCCGAGCUUAACUUGGGAAUUGCAUUCGAUACUGGUUAGCUAGAGUGUGGGAGAGGAUGGUAGAAUUCCAGGUGUAGCGGUGAAAUGCGUAGAGAUCUGGAGGAAUACCGAUGGCGAAGGCAGCCAUCUGGCCUAACACUGACGCUGAGGUACGAAAGCAUGGGGAGCAAACAGGAUUAGAUACCCCGGUAGUCCCUGUCUCUUAUAC